AUGGGGAGUGGUGAGUCUCUGCAGGGCACUGUACUCAUCUCUGGAGACCUAGAGAGCACUCACAGGGCAGUGACUCUGGCGCUGCCCCUCGCCCUGGCACCUGGGGGAACUCUACUCUUCUGGGUGCCCUGGGGAGCUCAACGGGAAGUGGUUUCUGCCUCCUGCUGCAGCACAUGGUUUCCCCUUUCCAUCCUAUUGCCUCUCAAAGUCAGAAUGCACUGCACUCUCAAAGACCAGCCCCUUCCCCUCCACGAAAUGACUACGUGUCUGCCACAGAACCCCUCCUGCAUCGUGGUCACCAUCAGAAUGGCCUACUUUCCACGGAGCAGAUCCCAGAGCCAUCUCCACACUGGCCUCCAAGCUGUGCCGGUGGUUUUUAUAGGAAUCAGAAAAGGGUGCAUUACUGUCACAUCUGAUGAUCCGGGAGUCGGCGUUGGCCGGGCUGGGUGGCAUCAGCAGAGCGAGACCCUCCGGGGCCACCCGUUCCUCCACAUCCCUCUUCUUCUCCACCUUCCAGCCCCCGCGUCCAGCAGACCUUAUCAGUCCAUGUAUCUGCCGUCGAUCCGUGCAUCAGGCAGAGGAGGAGGAGAAAAGCAAGGAAUCCAAGCAAUGUUUUCCACGCUCCGUGCGGCAGUAAAUCUCUUCCUCAAAUCUGCUUUGAUUCGUGCGUUCGUUCGGGUUUGUGGGAAUUUCAGCCCCCACAAGCUUCUAAAGGGCCUUUUUCUCCAUUCCUAUUAAAUAUAGUCCAGGGCAGGAUCCUAGACAUCCGAUUCCCAUAAGACCCAGCUUAGCAACCCUCCCCCAGGGCCAUCCCAGCCCUCCGCCGCAAAAAAAGCUGUGUGGGAGAGAUGUGGGGACUGGAACCCCGCCAAGG
rnacentral:lncRNA from 1 species